rnacentral:rRNA from 1 species
GACGAACGCUGGCGGCGUGCUUAACACAUGCAAGUCGAACGGUAAGGCCCUUCGGGGUACACGAGUGGCGAACGGGUGAGUAACACGUGGGUGAUCUGCCCUGCACUUCGGGAUAAGCCUGGGAAACUGGGUCUAAUACCGGAUAGGACCACUGCCUGCAUGGGUGGUGGUGGAAAGCUUUUGCGGUGUGGGAUGGGCCCGCGGCCUAUCAGCUUGUUGGUGGGGUGAUGGCCUACCAAGGCGACGACGGGUAGCCGGCCUGAGAGGGUGAUCGGCCACACUGAGACUGAGAUACGGCCCAGACUCCUACGGGAGGCAGCAGUGGGGAAUAUUGCACAAUGGGCGCAAGCCUGAUGCAGCGACGCCGCGUGAGGGAUGACGGCCUUCGGGUUGUAAACCUCUUUCAGCACCGACGAAGCGCAAGUGACGGUAGGUGCAGAAGAAGGACCGGCCAACUACGUGCCAGCCGCCGCCGUAA